rfam:Solenopsis invicta Si_gnG.contig23951, whole genome shotgun sequence.
UCAACGGCCCUUUUCAGGGCCACCAAAUUUUAAAACGUGGGAAUUU